rnacentral:rRNA from 1 species
AUCGAGUCUUUGAACGCAAGUUGCGCCCGAAGCCUUGGCUGAGGGCACGCCUGCCUGGGUGUCACGCAUCGCGUUGCCUCCAUAACCCUUCCCCACCGCGAAAAACGCGUGGGACGGUUUGGAUGCGGAAGAUGGCCUCCCGUGUCCGCGAGCCACGGAUGGCCUAAAUAUGUGCUGGGGAAGCGAAGCGCCACGGCGUUCGGUGGUCGGUAUAAGCCCCCGAGGCAGUGAAGCCCGUGGCGGCAGCGAGAGUUCCCCGGUCCACGACCCUAAUCACUAACCAACGCGACCUCAGGUCAGGCGGGGCUACCCGCUGAGUUUAAGCAUAUCAAUAAGCGGAGGAA